CACGUAGGCACCAAGCGUUGUCCGGAUUUAUUGGGCGUAAAGAGCUCGUAGGCGGUUCGGUUAGUCGGGUGUGAAAACUUUGGGCUCAACCCAAAGCGUGCACUCGAUACUGCCGUGACUAGAGUUCGGUAGGGGAGUGGGGAAUUCCUAGUGUAGCGGUGAAAUGCGCAGAUAUUAGGAGGAACACCGGUGGCGAAGGCGGGUCUCUGGGCAACAACUGACGCUGAGGAGCGAAAGCGUGGGGAGCGAACAGG
rnacentral:rRNA from 1 species